AUGGUUAUGUCUUCAUGUGGUUCGCUAUAUCCCUGCUACCUGUUUGAACUGCCUGCCCGUGUGCCUGCUCUCCGGUCCUCCCUGCCUGAACUGCUAACGCCAGCCCUGAUACUAUGAUCUGACUAUAAUGGACCCGGCAGACCUUCAGUGGGGAGUUAAACGAGGUGACAAAUGCUGUAGAGUGCCUCCUAACUUACUGCCAAAAAACCUUCAGCUUGGAACUAAAGGAUGCAGCUCUGGCAUUAGCCAUCCACCAGGUCACUUCUAAACAUUGGUCAGAAGUCACAGCUAAAGAGUUGAAGGAGAUUACAUAAGCAUCUUCUGUCCUCCUUUAACUUGUGUAUGUUCGGG